rnacentral:rRNA from 1 species
CAAAAUGACGUGUACCUGAAGAAUNAGCAUCGGCUAACUCCGUGCCAGCAGCCGCGGUAAGACGGAGGANGCAAGUGUUAUCCGGAAUCAUUGGGCGUAAAGCGUCNGUAGGUGGUCUAAUAAGUCAACUGUNAAAUCUCGGAGCUUAACUUCAAAAUNGCAGUNGAAACUANUAGACUAGAGUAUAGUAGGGGUAAAGGGAAUUUCCAGUGGAGCGGUGAAAUGCGUAGAGAUUGGAAAGAACACCGAUGGCGAAG